rnacentral:misc_RNA from 1 species
GGAAGUAAAAGUCAUAACAAGGUUUCCGUAGGUGAACCUGCGGAAGGAUCAUUAUUGUAUAACCGAGGUGCGAGGGCUGUCGCUGACCCGAAAGGUCGUGCACGCCCGAGUGCCCUCACACACAUCCAUCUCACCCCUAUGUGCACCACCGCGUGGGUCCCCCUUUGGCUUGUUCGGAGGGGGGCUUACGUUUUCACACAAACUUUGUAUGCAGUGUAGAAUGUAUUUUUUGUUUUUGCGAUCACGCAACCAAUACAACUUUCAACAACGGAUCUCUUGGCUCUC